AGACUCCUUUUGCUUUUCAUCUUAAAGACUAUCGAUCAUGUAAUAAAUAUAAUACUCUCUUUACGUUACGGUAGUGUCUAUGGUAUCCAUUGAAGUUGUUGCAUGUGUCUAACUUGAUCCUGACGCACAUGUGAUUCAUUCAUUUUAUUUUGCCUUUAGAACCGGGUGUGAUAGAAGUGGUACCAGAGCCGUAUUGACUGUAAAAUGUUAGCCUAGUUAGAAAAUGGUUGAAUUUAAGGAUUAUAAUGCUUUAAUAGCCAUUCUUACUUAAUGGUUGUUUUCAAUCUGCUUUAAUAAGAUUAUCCUUGCUUUUAUCCCAUCCUUAUUUCUCUAUAUGAUUCUUUAUCUAAAUUCAGUCUAUUUUAUUUUCUUUAUCUUUAGAUGGUCUGCACCAAGUGAACUGCUCGCAAAGUGCCUUUCCUCAUUAUCGUCUUCAGGAGCCCGAGGAAUAGCUCAAAGAACUUGCUUACUACUACUACUAUCCUGGUGAUGACUCAGAUGAGGAGC
rnacentral:lncRNA from 1 species